CAUAUGGCGUCGCCAUAUUCGACAUUGACAAUGAUGGAGAUCUCGAUUGUCUGACUGCCGUCCGAACAAAAUAUGAUAACGAUGGACCGAGUGCUGAUUACGUCUGGAUUCUCAAGGGGCUGAGGGGCCACGUGAAGAAGAACAUCACGUUCCACUUCAAGAAAGGAGACGCACCGGACAAGGCACUCGUCACUGUCGAUGAUGACCCUCAAAGCCAGGAAGCAAGAGCCUUCUACGCCGACUUCCAGACGUGCGCCGUGUUGGACAUUCCAUAUAAUGGGAAGCCAGAGUGCACUCUAUGGACCACAGAGGAAGCCAAAGACAAUAUUCCAAGUCAAUGUAUCGAGCAAUACAAAAAGCACUGCGAGGUACAAGUUGUGGUCUACGAUAAAGAGUCUUGCAGUCAAGUAUAAUGGUAUGGACCAAGAGAAAUGACAGCAGGUUUAGCAUAGAACCUAGUUCUUGUGUAUUUCUGUAG